CAUGGUUUCUUCCAUAUGUUACUCACAAAAUGUAUUUUAAUUCUUCAAUAUUUGGUGUGAUUCUAUAUGAUGAUUUACAUUUACAGUACAGUUGGCAUUGGCUUACAAGCACCAACCCAAACAUCCUAGAGACACUGUUGUAAACAUGGGAUUUUCCAUGGAAGUUCUGAAUUAAAUCAUUCACAUAUUGACUGUAUUUGACUAUAUACUGACAGACUGGCGAUGCCAAAUGUGUCACUUUCAGAUUUCACACGCAAUUUCAGGCCACUUGUUUGAGCCCGAAACACAAUGCCCUAUGUGCAUGCCAGACACAAGUCAAUUAACUUCUUAGGUUACCCUUCUGCUGCUUUUCUUUAAGCCAGUGUACUUGGAAGCCUUUUGUAUAAUAGAGUCAAGAAGGUUAUUCUGUUGGGAAUUUCAUCUGGUUUCAGGGAGUUAAUUUUAGCGGCAUGUUGGAGGCGUCCGAUGUGAGGCUGCAUGCAGUAUCUUACUUAUUACCGAGGGGGCGAAGCCACGCACAGACUUAAAGGCUCCUGGGCAUUACAAGGGCGGCCUGAAAUCCUCCGAGCGCCACCGUAAUCCAGCUGCCAUCAUCCAUUCUGCCGUGGUUUGAGAUGAAACGUCCCAGCUGUCAUCGGCUCUUUGAGGUGGUUUUCAGGAGACACAUGGGGAUCUGCAGCCUCCUGUGAAGAAAGUGUCAUUUCCGUCUCACACGGCUUCACCGCGCUCAAGUAGAGAAGACGGUUCAAAUCAAGGAGGUCUGUGAUACCUGGAAAGAGCUAUCCGUUAGUGUUCCCAUUCAUCUCAAUGGCAGUUCCUCAUUUGGUGCAGGACCUCCAAGAAUACGCGAUUAGAAAUCUGCAAUCUGCUGCCAGGUUGUUUGAGCCAUAAAUGAGAAAAGUUUACUUCACCAAAAUACACAACUACUUUCAAAAUUCUGGAGCCAGAAGGAGUAACUGGACCAUGCUAACCAUUCCAGAUUUCCCUUCUAUAAAAUGCAACCGUUCCUGCAGAUUCUGUCUGGGCCUGCAGAUCUCCAAGUCUGGUUAUCCUGCUAACCAAAGACUGCUGUAUCAUCUGAUCCACUUCAUCUUCAUAACAAACAAAAAAGAGGCCCG